rnacentral:rRNA from 1 species
UACGGAGGAUUCGAGCGUUAUCCGGAUUUAUUGGGUUUAAAGGGCGCGUAGGCGGAUUGGUAAGUCAGCUGUGAAAGUUUACGGCUCAACCGUGUAAUUGCAGUUGAUACUGUUGGUCUUGAGUAUGCUUGAGGUCGGCGGAAUUUGUGGUGUAGCGGUGAAAUGCUUAGAUAUCACAAAGAACUCCAAUUGCGAAGGCAGCUGACUGGGGCAUUACUGACGCUGAUGCACGAAGGUGUGGGUAUCAAACAGG